AGCGAACGCUGGCGGCAGGCUUAACACAUGCAAGUCGAGCGGGCACUUUCGGGUGUCAGCGGCGGACGGGUGAGUAACGCGUGGGAACGUGCCCUCUGGUUCGGAAUAACUCAGGGAAACUUGAGCUAAUACCGGAUACGCCCUUUUGGGGAAAGGCUUGCUGCCGGAGGAUCGGCCCGCGUCUGAUUAGCUAGCUGGUGAGGUAACGGCUCACCAAGGCGACGAUCAGUAGCUGGUCUGAGAGGAUGAUCAGCCACACUGGGACUGAGACACGGCCCAGACUCCUACGGGAGGCAGCAGUGGGGAAUAUUGGACAAUGGGCGCAAGCCUGAUCCAGCCAUGCCGCGUGAGUGAUCAAGGCCUUAGGGUUGUAAAGCUCUUUUAUCCGGGACGAUAAUGACGGUACCGGAGGAAUAAGCCCCGGCUAACUUCGUG
rnacentral:rRNA from 1 species